CUACCAAGACAGUGACGGUUGACGGGAAAUUAGGGUUUUAUUCCGGAGAGGGAGCCUGAGAGAUGGCUCCCACGUCCAUGGACGGCAGCAGGCGCGAAAAUUACCCACUCUUCUGCGAGGAGGUAGUUAUGAGACAUGACAGUAAGGACGGACAGUAAAGUUGUUUGUGAGAUGCGAUUGGAGGGCAAGUUUGGUGCCAGCAGCCGCGGUAAUACCGACUCCAAGAGUGUCUAUGGUGGAUGCUGCAGUUAAAAAGUCCGUAGUUGUUGAAGCAAUUAAAGAAUGCAGAUCGAAUGCGUUUAAUUUGUUACUAGUGGUGGAACGGAUAGGGAACAUAGUAUAGGUGGGCGAGAGAUGAAAUUACCAAGACCCCAUCUGGACUGACAGAGGCGAAGGCGAUGUUCUUAUACGAAUCCGUAGAUCAAGGACGAAGGCUGGAGUAUCGAAAGUGAUUAGAUACCGCUGUAGUUCCAGCAGUAAAAGAUGCC
rnacentral:rRNA from 1 species